rnacentral:rRNA from 1 species
UACGGGGGGAGCAAGCGUUGUUCGGAUUUACUGGGCGUAAAGGGCGCGUAGGCGGUCAGCACAAGUCAGUUGUGAAAUCUCCGGGCUUAACUCGGAAAGGUCAACUGAUACUGUGCGACUAGAGUGCAGAAGGGGCAACUGGAAUUCUCGGUAUAGCGGUGAAAUGCGUAGAUAUCGAGAGGAACACCUGCGGCGAAGGCGGGUUGCUGGGCUGACACUGACGCUGAUGCGCGAAAGCCAGGGGAGCGAACGGG